AUCCAGCUGACGAGUCCCAAAUAUGAUGGAACGCGCGUUCUGAAU
rnacentral:hammerhead_ribozyme from 1 species